rnacentral:lncRNA from 1 species
AAAAUUAACCAUUUCAAUUUUCUCAAAUAGUUUUAAGUACAGCAGAUUAAACUAAAUGUCUUUAACUAAAGCACUAACAGGUAUAAUGAUAACAAUUUGGUAAGUCACAGUAAAGUCUCUUAACUAUCCUUCAGAUAUUAAUAAAGUGAAUAACUCUAAUAACCAGUAACAGAUUCUUUCACAAAUCAGGUGGGUUCCAGUUCUUUGCUUUCAACAAAACUGAAGGAGGACCUAACUGAGUUAUUAAGUCAAUAAAAAUAAUUACUGAUGAGAGUGCAAUAUAAUUUUUGGCAUAUAACUUGUAAACAUUUCAAAAAAACUGAGUGGCAAUGCUGUUUUUAAAAAUUAAUUCCAUCCAAAUGGAAUUAACAUUUGUUUUUGUUGUAGAAAAGCAUCCUGGAGUGAUUAAUAAAAGACUUUUCAAGCAUAAAAAUGGGUUAUAUUAGUAUAUUGUUCUAUGGGGAAGAAUGGAAAUAUGAGUUCAAAAAUAUAAAAUAACGAUGUGAAAUUUUGACUAUUAAAAAAGAGUCUCAUAUAACUUUUAAUGGAUAAUGGCAGGCAUCAAAUAGGUAUGGCAUUUAAAUUCAUUGGAUAAAUUUUAGAAAGACAUGAGACUCUUUGAACGUCAAUAUUUGUCAUAUGUUAAAAAUCACAUCCUACAAUUAAGCUUUUGAUGAGAACUGUUAGAUGUCAGCUUAAACACGUGUAAGGGGAUUUACAGAUUUUCAAAAUUAUUUUAGGGGUACACAACUAAGAACACUGAACAAUCACUGCUAUAAUGGCACCCUAUUACUCUACCACAGGAACAAAAGCUCCCGG